UACGGAGGUUGCAAGCGUUAUCCGGAUUUAUUGGGUUUAAAGGGUGCGUAGGCGGAUUUGUAAGUCAGUGGUGAAAUCCUGUCGCUUAACGAUAGAACUGCCAUUGAUACUGCUAAUCUUGAGUACAGUUGAGGUAGGCGGAAUGUGUAGUGUAGCGGUGAAAUGCUUAGAUAUUACACAGAACACCAAUUGCGAAGGCAGCUUGCUAAACUGUAACUGACGCUGAGGCACGAAAGCAUGGGGAGCAAACAGG
rnacentral:rRNA from 1 species